rnacentral:rRNA from 1 species
UACGGAGGAUCCAAGCGUUAUCCGGAAUCAUUGGGUUUAAAGGGUCCGUAGGCGGAUUAGUAAGUCAGGGGUGAAAGUUUGCGGCUUAACCGUAAAAUUGCCCUUGAUACUGCUAGUCUUGAAUAAUUAUGAAGUAGCUAGAAUAUGUAGUGUAGCGGUGAAAUGCUUAGAUAUUACAUGGAAUACCGAUUGCGAAGGCAGGUUACUAAUAAUUUAUUGACGCUGAUGGACGAAAGCGUGGGGAGCGAACAGG